GGGGGGGCGCGUGGGGGCGGCAGCGCCGGCUGUGCCGUACGGAGGGGACGGGGAGGGCGGCGUCCGGCCGGCCGCUGAACUGACCUACAUCGCUCGUCCCCAGGUCGGUGGAUGCUGACUUGAGGGUCUGCCUCCUGCUGCGGCUGCCGGGCUUCGGCCCACUCUGCCCCUUGGAGGAACAGAACACACCGCAGCCUGUGCAGCCGCAGAGGUGCAGAGGAAUGGAGGAGAAGGAGCGGCCCCCCGGCGCCCGCAGCCCCCCCCCCUCACCUUGCGCUGCGCCCAUGGGCCGGGGGAACUGCGUGAGGACGGGGAGGGGGCUCAGCCCCGUGCAGACACUGUUCAGACCAAGAGCGUUCUGCAGGACGGGGAGCCCCGGAGCUCAGCAGACACGGGUGACAUGCACAGCCCUGCAGAGGCCGGGGCGGCCCCAGCCCCGAUCUGCGUCCUGCAGGGCACUUCACACCAUGCACGGGGCGCUGCUCCCAGAAAGCCAGCACGGGCUGAGCACGAACUGCAGGGCAGCCGUGGCCCCACGGCACUUCCUCAGCCUCUAAGAUCAGCCCCGGGCUGCCAGAGCCUCGAGCAGCCCACGGCAACACGGGGCCUCCCUGACUCCUAAAGCCACCGUGUGCAGUGUGUGCGACACAGCCGGGUCAGCGCAAGCUCGGACAACACAAACACGGCACACAGGUAGAGCGGAGGCAGCGCACGAGAGUAAAUGGGGUUUAUACCAUGUUGUACUGCUGGGGUGGAGAGACUGGCAAGAGGACUUGGGGGCAGGAGCUUGGAGAAUACUGAACGGGCUGCAGCGCUGGGACCGGCUGAGACCAGCAGAGGAGGGAGCAGAGGGCACAGAUUUGGGUGGGGAGAGGUGAGGAAGGACAGGAGGAAGGAGAGAAAGAAGGAACAACAAGGUUAGUCAACCGAGCCCGUUGCGAACACACACAGGCGGGCAUUGCAGGGGUUUGGAAAGCGUGGGGAGCAGAAUGGGAGAGCGUCCGCCUGUCGGGGACGGCACGGCUGCUUUGUGGAAGCUGUGCAGGCCGUGUCCACAAAGCAGUCCUCACCUGGUGUGAACGGUGACGAAUUCACAAAGGCCCAAAGCAGAGAUCCGUUUACUCCGGACCACCUCCGUGUCUCCCAUCCCACCGCCCACCCGUGCACGGCACCGACCCCCGGCUCUCCCUGCACCCUCGCCGGGCAGAACGGAGUCCCAGCAGCCCGGCUGUGCGUUGGCUCUGCCUGCACCUCCCACCGCCUGCCCCCACCGAGCCCCGCCUGCUGUGCAGACACUCACCUGAGACAUCAUGUGGUUACUCAUGGCUGGCUGCUGCUGGGCCGUGGGGGGAAGGCCUUGGGGCUGCGGCUGCUGGGGAGGCGGUGGUUGAGGCUGCUGGGAUGCGCAGGGAAGGAGGCCGCGGCUGGGCUGCGACGAAGGGGGUUGGCUGCAUGCUUCGGGGGCACCGAGAGCCAGGCCUUGAGCAGAGAGAAGCAGGAGAAAGCAGACGGUAAGUCAGCCAAACAGCUCAUCCCCAUCCGGGUGCUGAGCAGUCCGAAACGAAGCCGGUUUCGUUUCCUGGUCCCAUUCUAACCGGGGGCACUGAGCGCAGCCCCAUAGCUGACCAACCCCCCGACUCAACGACGGCGGGCACCGCUGCUCCCUGGCAGGAGGUGGGCAGGGAAGCCAAGCAGUACCUGCCCGGGGUGCUCUGCUGGCCGUGCUGCCUUUGCUGCUCCCGAUGCUGUCCCCCCGUGUCAGGAUGGAGAUGCCGCUGAAGCUGCUGGCUUUGGUGACGGGCGGUCGCAGGCUGCGGAUGGAGCCAUCUGAGUCCGUGCUGCUCCACGGCCGAGGCUCCAAUGAUUUGAUCUCGCUCUCCGUGCUGCUCUGACGGCUGCCCGAGGCCCGGCUCAAACCGUCCCGGUUGGCCCUGUGCAGAGAAAACCGUGCACUGGGAAGACCCACACAGUUAUCUCCAUGUUGGUUCCUGGCCUUUUUCUCCGGCCUGGAAAAGAGGCCAGCAGGCUCACAGCACGGUCCCUUGCUAAAGCUUUCCUUGUCCCACAACACCGGGCCUCACAGAGGCCUCAAGGUGACCAAGAUCUUGCAAGAUCCCCUUCUGCAGAGCUGUGUGCCGUGGCACCACUGUGCUCCCCGUGACUGCCCCCCUUCCUCUCCAGCCGGGUCUGCCUGUAAGACUUUGGAGUGCUGGCAAAGCACCCCAAGCAUUAAACCCGGUUCACCAGCCCAGCUAAGGAAUAUCAUGGGUUUAUAAUGGGUUCCUGGACCCUCGCUGAGGAGGAGUGGUGAUGAAGGCAACGACGGCAGAGAUGCCAUGCUGCAGGCUGAGCUCGGCAGCUCCAAGCAGCCGUGGAGAGAAGACAGGCUGAGAAGGAACGUCCAGCUGAGGUCCGGGGCUGCCGGGAGCACACGAGAGCCAAAGAGAACAGCUCUCCUGGAAGGGCAACCGAUGCGAUGGCUGCACCUCCUAACAGGUGAAGGAACCGCCUGUGCAGCCUUGCAAACUCCAGAGGGCCUAAAAAGUGUCGCUGCUCAUCCGGGCUCUCUCCAACCUCGACCCCGAGGAUGCUCGGAGAGGUGGGGGCACUCUUUGAGGCAUGUCGUGUCCUCCGUGCAGCUCAGCUGCUAACCCCGCUUCCCUGAGAACUCAGGACCUCUCAAGCUGUUAUGCCACUGGGUUAGCAGCAAGCAGCUUGAGCCAGCUCUGCUGUCUCUCGUGCCCCUCUCUCCGUGAACCUCAUCACAGCCUGCUUCCACGUGUCUGCCAGCAGAGAGCUCUCUGCCAUCACCUCGGUGCUAACAGAGGCCGUGUAAGCAAUGGAGGUGGCUGCUUUUGCUCUGAGUGCUGGGCUCUGGGGGAGCGAACUCAGGAGUUCACCAAGACAUCACCUCCAAGCACAGCCACCCAGGGAGCCCCGGUCUUCUCCGGAGCUUUGUCUGCCUCUGUCCAGAGCUCCAAACGACCCUGAGGUCCACACGGCCUCCGGAACCACAGAGGAAGGAGGUUAAGAAGCUCUUUAGGGCACACGGGUCAGAAGAGCUCUCAGCACAGCGCUGCCUGCAGGUGUGGGGUGACCUCUGCUGUAUGUCCACAGCAGAACUGCAAACGACACCAACACCGCAGCCAGAGGCGUAACUCCACCGCAGCAUCCCCGUAUCUGCGCUGAGGACACCUCGUUUUGCACUGCAGUGUUGUUCUGAGUGCAAACGGAGCCAAAACUGAGAAGCAAAGCUGUACCUCCAACACGCUUAAACCAGGGACAGCUGCAGUGCACCCCGACACUGAGCGGUGGGGUUCUCCCACCCUUCUGGGACACAAAGAGCGCAGCGGUUGGAAAACUGCCCCGAUCCUUUGGCUCUCCCCCUCCCUGCUGCCCACCGUCCCAUUUGAAUCGAUGGAUUGGCAAAAAAAAAAAAAUAAAAGAGAGAGAGAGGACUCAGAAAUCAACGCUGCGAAAAAUCCCACUUCGGCAACGAAUGGGGCAGAUUUACCCAGCAGGAAAACGUGCAUAAAUCACACAGCGACGCCUAAAAAUCUGCCUCCGUUUCUGAGGGCUAUAAGCAAAGCUUUCCUUGGACAUUCUGCCCGCUGCCAUCAGAGAAAAGCAUCAUUACGGAGUCAUGCAGUGCCCUGCAGACAAAGGCAGAGACACAGAGGUGUGUGCUGAGCGGUACUGACCUGCUGUCGGUGAGAUAUCCGUUCUGACCGGUCUGCAACCGUGGAAAAGACGCGGAGAUGGGAAGGAAAGAAAAAGGGACACUUAAUCACUUGGAAAGCGACAAACCCCACGCUACUUCAAAGCAAAGAAGAGCAAAGCACUAACAGUAUGGGAUUCAGCUGGUGCUGUGCAUGAGUUGUAUGGUCACUCGGGAGCUCCUGCUGAGCCUCUCGUGCUCCUGUCCCACUCGGCUCUCCAUCCAACCCCCCUGGAGCCUUUGCCAGCAUCUGUGAGGCCGACAUCUCCCCUGGGCUUUCAAAUCGGAGCCCUAAGCUCUCUAUCUCAGUGCCCUGAGGAGCCCUAAGCUCUCUAUCUCAACGCCCUGAGGAGCCCUAAGCUCUCUAUUUCAGUGCCCUGAGGAGCCCUAAGCUCUCUAUCUCAGUGCCCCGAGGCAGCAUCGAGGUUGCUUUGUUAGUGGGACAACCGAGACCAAACACAGAAGGGUCCUCUCUUGGUAAACGCGGGCAGUCAUCAGAGCCACGUGAAAAGGCGGAGGGCUCAAAGUCAGCCCAGCAUCCCGGUGACAGCCAGCCCUGCCCCUGCAGCCUGCAGCAGAGCGCCGGCUCAGGCCCUGAGCAGAGAGGAAGGGCGGCCACUCAGCACCGUGCUGGCGUGGGAUGGCAGCUGCCCUCGUCCAGGACUGCAGGCAGAGCUGCUCGUUAGCGUGGCUGGAUGGCUCUGGGCCUGCGUGCAACACAGCUCUGUGCCUACCAACACGAGAGCCAUCCGAAGCCUUGCUGCCUCGAGAGCACUCAGUGCAGCGGCUGCCUGAACACACUCCCAUUGGGACGGAGGAAAGCAUCGUUCCCCAGCUACUCCAAAGCAGCAGGCAGGGAGCUGGACUUCCAACCUGACCCACAGCAGCCUGAACUGUCCCCAGUCCCAUCGUACGCCUCUCGGCACAGCACAGAGAGCUGCCUCCAGCUGGCAGAUAGCACUCAACACAGCAGAGCACAGCAGCCUCGCUGAGCCAGACGUGAGCACGGAGCAGAGCUCUGCCUUAGAGGAGUUCCACACAGGGAGCAGAGAUUUCAAGCAAACAACAACCAAGCUGGACGCUUUGUGAGAAAGGAAAUCAACCCACAUCCAGCCCACAAAGGCACAGAGCCCUGCCUGACACCUGAGGGACCCCGGGCAGCCUGAUGUAAGGGCUGGCAACCCUGCCCGUGGCAGGGGGGUUGGAACGAGGUGAUCUUUAAGGUCCCCUCCAACCUAAGCCAUUGUGUGAUUGAGGGCUAGCACUGCUUGCUCGGGAGGCCAAAGCUGCAGAAAUGGAGAGAAACUGGGAGAGAAGGGCACGGUUCCUGGCAGCUUCAUCGAUUAACUCAUUCCAGACAUGCCACUGCAUAAGCUUAUAGUACUGCUGGACAGCAAGGAGCAAACCUGCCUCCUCUGUCAGUCCCCACACUUCUACUGCCAUGUGAAUUUAAGGGAGUGAACGUGUGGCUCCUCUAUCUCCAUGUCACAGGCAUCUUUGUUAGGAGCUGGAAUUCACUGGUAGAUACCAGGAACACUAGGAAAUUCGUAGAAAAGGCAACAGUGAGAUCUGACCUGUUAGGAUAUUCAAGGCCACCUUCUGCCCCAAGGUUCCAGGAAGACACCUGGCACGUCAGUGAUCUCAGCUUACCUCUCGUGCAAAUAUCCGCUCCCUGGCCCGCUGGUAUUCCUCCUCUCGCUCUUCUAUAGAUUUGCUCCUCCUCCCAUCCUGCAAGGGGAGUCUGAUCUGAAGGGACAAACACAGCUCAGCGGGUCAGUGGUUGCCAACGGGAGCAGAGGGUGCAGUGAGCUGCUGAUACGUCUGCACAGCACUAUGGGGACUGUGGGGUGCGUGCACGAUGCCCGGGUGCAAUAACGCUGCCUUUAAACUGAACUCCUGGGCACCUGUGUUAUGGGGGUGAACAACUGUUCUGCCUGCAAGACUGUUCUGCCCGAUUCAGAGAGGACAGGUGAGGAAUAUGAGCAAGUAUUCUGGAAGACAAUCUGCUCUCGGGGGGUCAGGAGCUAAAAGCCGCUCUCUGCAGACAGAUGCCCACGGCAAAGUCCUCCUGCUCAGUCACACGCUGUGUGCCUCACCCUCUGAGUACCACCGUGGAGCAAACAGAACCUGGUACUGAUUGCAAUGACCUCCUGAGUUCGGAAAGGUGAACCAAAGCGAGGGGUGAUGGCGUGGUGAUGUUAAGAUGGGUGCUACAAAAGCAAAGAGCGCGAGGUCCUGGGUGGGGAGGGGGAUCCCGGCGCCCCGUUCUGCUGUCCCUUACCUGAUUAUCAUCCCUGUCCAUGCUGGUGUCAUCUCGUUUUAGGAUAAACCGCUGUGGAAACUCUGCAUUCUUCUCAUCCUUGAUGUGCUCAGAGAACCUCUGCUCGGGACUGCAGGGGGAACCAGCUCUUGUUAGGGGGUCACAACGGGGGUAGGACUGCCUCCAUAAAACCACUGCCUUGCAGGGAGUGGGGCACGAAUGUCCCUCUCUGACAGCAACAGAGGAACCAAACCCUCCUCUGACAGCUAAAGAGAGCUGGAAAGGACUUGUAGAUAUAUAAACGUGGGGCUGGAAGUGGAGGAUUCCAUCUGACCCUCUGAAGAGGGAACGUGCCCUUCUUACAGAGGCAUUAAAUGUGGUGCAAAAUCCAUCCUAUGAAAUCCAUCCCCCAGGGCUUGUGGUCUGGGAGG
rnacentral:lncRNA from 1 species